AAGUAUAAGCAUUAUACCGUGAAACUGCGAAUGGCUCAUUAAAUCAGUUAUCGUUUAUUUGAUAGUACCUUACUACUUGGAUAACCGUGGUAAUUCUAGAGCUAAUACAUGCUGAAAACCCCAACUUCGGGAGGGGUGUAUUUAUUAGAUAAAAAACCAACGCCCUUCGGGGCUUCUUGGUGAUUCAUGAUAACUUUACGGAUCGCAUGGCCUUGCGCCGGCGACGGUUCAUUCAAAUUUCUGCCCUAUCAACUUUCGAUGGUAAGGUAUUGGCUUACCAUGGUUUCAACGGGUAACGGGGAAUUAGGGUUCGAUUCCGGAGAGGGAGCCUGAGAAACGGCUACCACAUCCAAGGAAGGCAGCAGGCGCGCAAAUUACCCAAUCCCGACACGGGGAGGUAGUGACAAUAAAUACUGAUACAGGGCUCUUUUGGGUCUUGUAAUUGGAAUGAGUACAAUUUAAACCUCUUAACGAGGAACAAUUGGAGGGCAAGUCUGGUGCCAGCAGCCGCGGUAAUUCCAGCUCCAAUAGCGUAUAUUAAAGUUGUUGCAGUUAAAAAGCUCGUAGUUGAACCUUGGGUCUGGCUGGCAGGUCCGCCUCACCGCGUGUACUUGUCCGGCCGGGCCUUCCUUCUGGAGAACCUCAUGCCCUUCACUGGGCGUGUUGGGGACCAGGACUUUUACUUUGAAAAAAUUAGAGUGUUCAAAGCAGGCCUUUGCUCGAAUACGUUAGCAUGGAAUAAUAGAAUAGGACGUGCGGUCCUAUUUUGUUGGUUUCUAGGACCGCCGUAAUGAUUAAUAGGGACAGUCGGGGGCAUCAGUAUUCAAUUGUCAGAGGUGAAAUUCUUGGAUUUAUUGAAGACUAACUACUGCGAAAGCAUUUGCCAAGGAUGUUUUCAUUAAUCAGUGAACGAAAGUUAGGGGAUCGAAGACGAUCAGAUACCGUCGUAGUCUUAACCGUAAACUAUGCCGACUAGGGAUCGGGCGAUGUUCUUUUUCUGACUCGCUCGGCACCUUACGAGAAAU
rnacentral:rRNA from 1 species